rnacentral:rRNA from 1 species
CAGUAGCCGCGGGAAUACGGAGGAUCCAAGCGUUAUCCGGAAUCAUUGGGUUUAAAGGGUCCGUAGGCGGUCUUGUAAGUCAGUGGUGAAAGCCCAUCGCUCAACGGUGGAACGGCCAUUGAUACUGCAGGACUUGAAUUAUUGGGAAGUAACUAGAAUAUGUAGUGUAGCGGUGAAAUGCUUAGAGAUUACAUGGAAUACCAAUUGCGAAGGCAGGUUACUACCAAUUGAUUGACGCUGAUGGACGAAAGCGUGGGUAGCGAACAGGAUUAGAUACCCCUGUAGUCCCUGUCUCUUAUAA